rnacentral:misc_RNA from 1 species
GAAGGUAUGCGUUGGCGCCCACAGCAGUAAGCCACCCUUACAUUGCAAGCUUCUCUGCUUAUCGUGUUUCGCUCUCGAGCGCUUUUCGGUGGCAUCUUGCCAUCUUCUUCACAAGCGCUUCCUCUCCGGUUGCUGCACACACCUCUUGACCACGUCGUUCGCCCGCCUGCUUAUUCGAGCAGAUCAACCGCCUGCUUGCUUUCUUUUUUCUUUUUUUUUUGUUACGUUUUUGUACUCCCGCCGCCAUUCUCCAUGGCAUUUUCGCUACGCUCGCGCGCGGCGGCAGCGGUGCUGCCGCUGAUUCUCACCAUACUCGUCGGCUGCGUCCAGUGCUCCGGUUUCGCGACGGUGGGGGCGCACAACGACCGCUUGCCGCAGCCCAGCUGGAGCCGCACCUGCACCUCCCCGUACGAGGUGUGCUCCACCAUCGAGGUGUACCAGUACUGGGAGGAGAAGAAGAAUCGCUUGAGUUUCACUGUGGAUGCAAUGAUGAAAGACCCGAACGCGAAAAACGUGCUCACCGUGUGGAUGGUGGUGGAUGACGCCGACGUCAACAUGGCGAAGGACAUCUUCCGUGAAGGCAUUAACGUCGUCAUUGUGCACCCGCGCGGCUCAAAGCAAACACAAUCGUUUAUGACGUGCGCGAAUACCUCGAACCCCUACAACAGGCAGUGCUGGAUGUCUGAGGCAUGCGCGGCCGAGCUGGCGGCGGCAGCGAGCAGCACGAGCAACCCCCUUAACAUGUCGCACUACUCGGCGAAACAGGCAGCGCACGAUCUCGACUGGGCACUGCGCACCCUCGGCGAUGGCCGACCCAAUGUGGUGCUGGGCCAGGGCCUGAGCAGCAUGUUGGUUCUUCGUCUCCUUCAGUAUCACCAAGACACCAAGGCAGCAGUGAUACUGUUAGACUACGUGCACCCGGUCAUGUUCGACGUGUACAACUACUUUGGCGGCGGCAGCAUGGUCACUGCCCUGCAGCACCUCCUUGCCAUGUGUGAUGACCAGGCAGCGUGUGUCGGACGACUGGGCGCAGCGGAGGGGUCGUGGAACCGUCUGAUGACGGUCAUACAUAUGGCGAAAGAGGGAAAGCUCUCGUGCGCAUCGCGGCUAAAGUGGGCACCCCGCAGAGGCGGCAACGCCGCCUUUGCCGAUGAGCUGCGCGGGGUGCUGGCCCUCAUGCUGCGGUACCCUGUCUACCCCUUCCUCGCCAGCAACGCCGCUCUGUUGAACUUGAUCCCGUCGCUGCUUUACAGGGUUCAGCGCUGCAACAAAAAGGACGUUGCAGCGCUCAACAAGCUCUACGACUACUUGAGCGCCGCAAAGAACUACGAAUGCCCUGAAAGCGUCGCCCUGCAUAUGCACUGGCUCGUAAACGAAUUCCUCCAGGCGGCGCCGCCGGCCAACAUCCACUCGUUUCGCAGCAGCGCGGCGGCGAAGCAUCUGAUCCUGCCUUCCUUCCAUGCCAUGUCGGCGUUUCACAGCGCCGCUAAGAAGUUUCCGCGCAUCUCACGCAGCGCUGAGUCGAAGCAGCUCCCAGCCAAUGCCACGCAACCGAUCCUUCUGCUCAACGCCGACACCGACGCGCUGCUGCCCGGAGGUGCAGCCAGCCAGGUCGCCCUUGCCUUCCGCCAACUUGGAGACUCGGUGCAGCUGCGUCAGCUUCGAGGUAUCAUGAACCGUCCUUCCGCUGUGCUCACGCCGUGUUUGGUGAACAAUCUGAAGAUGUUCAGGGAUCAUGGCGUGUGGGCGGAUGAGGAUCAGUGCACGCUUGACGUCGCCCACAAGAUCGACUUCAUCAACGGUGCCACCGACAUCUACUACGGCACCAGCGACGCCUGGGACUUUGACAAGCCAAACUCUGACGAAACAAACGGCGGUCGUGACGACAACGAUGACGAGGGUGGCUUUCACUUUAAGUGGCGUUUCAUUGCCCGCGCGCUGCUCGCGCUGAUACUGCUUGGUGGCAUUGGCGCCGUCGGCUACUUUGCCCUCACCUAUCUUAAGGCGAACGGCCCCUUUCACUACAGCCGCGUCAGCGACAACUUUUACGAAAACCUGCACCAAUAGAGGUGAUAAUCGAGGACGCCUCGCUCGCUCUGUGUGCGUGUGUGUGUGUGCGGAGGCGUUGUGCGCACCUCUUUUCUCUGUGCCUGUGCUUUUCCUUUUAUUUUUGUUUUACAGCCCCUCCCCUCCUGUCUCUGGCUCUCCAUUCGUGAGCUUAUAUUAUUACGAUGUCUGCGCUGACGUGUCCCUCUCCCCGAACACGACGCCCGCCGGUCCUAUGUCCGCGCCUCUGCUUGUGCUUCCCUCAUAACCUACUAUGCAUGAGAGCAUUCUCUCUUCUCGAUGGCGAACGAUCUCAGCAAUAAAAAGAGGUCGUGGAACAGCACACGCGCUCAUCCCCUCCUCCCUCCCUCCCCUUUUUCCCCUCCCUUCCUGCACGGCUUUUGACCUUUUCGUUCUUUUCGAUGCGUGCAUGUACAGGCGUACGUGUGGGAUAGCGUCAGGCCGGGCCCACUCCUCUUGUG